rnacentral:tRNA from 1 species
GGAGAGAUGGCCGAGUGGUCGAAGGCGCGCGACUCGAAAUCGCGUAGGCCCCAAAAGGGUCUCGAGGGUUCGAAUCCCUCUCUCUCCG